rnacentral:misc_RNA from 1 species
UUAUAUCAUACUUGUAUAUUCGUAAAGCGAUGCGUUUAUAAGUCUCACUUUCCAAUUUGUAAACACAGAGAGAUAAGAAAGAAACUCACCUUAACUUAGCUAUUCAAGAACAUAUACAUACUUCAGUAAAUAUUCGAGGUUUGAAAAAGUCGGGUGAUCUCAGCCCAAUUUUUUAGGCUUAUUCGAGACAAAGAUGUCAGAUGCUAAGAUUAAUUAUACAUAAUAAAGUACAUAUACUCACUGCAUCUGGAAUCUCAUGAUAUUGCAAAAGAUGCAUGUAUGUUGCUGUGGACUGUACAGGAAUGGUUUGUACGAAUGGUCGUUUUACAUGCCAAAGCCAUCGAUUAUGGUAUAAGUAUCUAGACAAACUAGUCGUCAAAGUUCCACCUAACAUUGGUGUAAGUCUCGUUGAAAUAGUCUGAGCCGCAUCGGGGAAUACAAUUAAACUCAAAUCAGUUGGCAUUCUCUCGUAUCUAAUUAAUAUCUUCUCUAAAGAUUUAUGGACAAUGGUGCAAGAAGGUAUUUCUUUUUGUUCUGUAGGUCUAUUUGGUAAAGUAAGUUUAGACAAUCGAUCUAAAAGAUCGACGACAACAUUAUGUCGAACAACUCCUUCUGUUCCAGCUGCGAAUGCGAUAUUAAGAAU